GCAUAAUGGUUAUGCAAACUGACUCUCAUGCCUGAGGCUCCAAAGUCCCAGGUUCAAUCCCCUGUACCACCAUAAGCCAGAGCUGAGCAGUGCUCUGGUAAUUAAAAAAAAAAAAAAGGAAUCAAACUUGAGACCUCAUGCUCUACCACUGUGCCACCUCCCAAGCCACCGGUGGAAGUCCUGCCCUGCUCUGCACCCAGAAGCACACACCCCUGCACUCUGGCCCUCUGGCUGUAUGGCCAGCGGGAGACUGGCUGGCAGGAGACUGGGAGUGGCAGCAGCAGGAGGCCGGGUAAUUACUUGCCAGCAGCCAGCACCCUCCCUGCUGAGAGAGCUGUGGGAGCUUCCUCCUCUACCUGGAUGGCCACCCUGCCUCUACCCGUGGGCCCAGGGCUGCUGGCAGCUGUGCUUCACCGCCUUGUGGACUCCCCGUGUCUGCAGCUCUUCCCACCAGGUGCCAACUUGGAAUGCAAGCCCACAGCACCGGGCAGCUCCUGCCUCAUGCCAGGGCCGCCCUGCCCUGCAAUCCCGUGAUGGGUGGAGAAGUCACUCACCGUUACGCGGCCCAAGCUCUCUCCUUGAACGUGAGCUCACACGUAAACCAGGACUCCAGUUCGACACAAGUCCUGAAAUUCCAGCCGUCCUUCAUCGCUGAUCUAAUUAGUUCAUCCAUGUCUUCUGUGGAGCCAGGAGGGAGAGCACGCAGACUUCACUGCUGCCGGGUGCCUCUUCAUGGAGACGCACAGACACCACAGCACCGGAAUCUCCUCCAGUGCAGAAACACCUCCCACGUGACUCCAGGACUUAAUCUUGGGUCGUGUGCAAGGCAGGGCGUGCGCCCUACCAGACGAGCUAUUUCUCCAGCCUCCCUCAUUGUUUAAAACUUCCAGAGUUCCAGCAGAAACCUCAGCUGCUUCUGAUAAAUUCCUCGCUGUGGCCAGAAGAUGGCAGUACAUCACCAGCCCAACUCCCCUGCCCACUGCAUGGUGGGACUGCUGGGGGGUUCUCUUCCCCUGGGCACUCACCAACCAGGAAAUCCAAAAAUGUCUAACUGAAACACAUUAAUUACAACCUGAGUAAAUUCCUUCCAAA